rnacentral:lncRNA from 1 species
AGGAUAUUGUUAAAAAACAUGUUAAUUUAAAGGAAACUGUUCAUCCUAUGAUAGAUUAGGCAUGGACUAUUAUAGAUGUCCAUGCUUUAUUUUACAUACUGCUUGGGAUGUGUUACAUACAUUACGCACAUGCAUAUCAUGGAUGUCCACCGUGUCCUCCACCUCCGUGUCCGCCUCCACCUCCAGGUCUUCCUCCUCCGCCAGGUCUUCCUCCGUCUCCGCCAGGUCCGCCGUCGUGUGGUCCGCCAGGUCCGCCGUCGUGUGGUCCGCCAGGUCCGCCGUCACGUGGUCCGCCAGGUCCACCGUCACGUGGUCCGCCAGGUCCACCGUCAUGUGGUCCGCCUCCUCCCGAACCAUCUACACCAACUGCAUAUACACAAACAUGGUUAAAUAUUGUUAUGAUUAAUAUAAUUUAAUGAAGAUAUAUUAUUAAUAUAUAGAAUAAUUUUACACUAGGUAAGUUCAUUUUAUAAUAGCAAUUUAAAAAUAACUAUAGCAACAAUGUAUCAAUGUAAAAUUGAUUUAAAAUUAGUUAUCAAUAUUUUUUCUCUCUCAAAACUUUAGUAUCUACUAUAAGUAGAUAAAAUACACCACUAUCUAUAAGAGUA